rnacentral:rRNA from 1 species
UACGAAGGGGGCUAGCGUUGUUCGGAGUUACUGGGCGUAAAGGGCGCGUAGGCGGACCUGCAAGUCGGGGGUGAAAGCCCGAGGCUCAACCUCGGAACUGCCUUCGAUACUGCGGGUCUCGAGUCCGGGAGAGGUGAGUGGAAUUCCUAGUGUAGAGGUGAAAUUCGUAGAUAUUAGGAAGAACACCAGUGGCGAAGGCGGCUCACUGGCCCGGUACUGACGCUGAGGCGCGAAAGCGUGGGGAGCAAACAGG